GUCCAUGGCCAUACCACCCUGAACACGCCUGAUCUUAUCUGAUCUCAGAAGCUAAGCAGGGUCGGGUCUGGUUAGUAUUUGAAUGGGAGGUGUGAGAGAGGAGCGUGUGUACA
rnacentral:rRNA from 1 species